AUGAGAAUUAAUUUACUCUCAUUUUUUUGGCGAUGCCAAGAAAUUAGAGAGUUUAUAUUGGUGUGUCAACUUUUUUUUGUCGGUUUGAUUCUUUCUGAAAUUGAAAUCUUUCAUCGAUACCAUGGUGAAGAUACUAUUGAUCCGACAGCCUGCACUUCUAGGGGUUCAUCUCUGCCCAAGUACGUUCAACGAUCAAGACUUUCCAUCUUUUUGGAUGUGCGACUCAAGGUGCUUUUAAAAACCAUCGUUGCUCCAGUCCAGUUGCAGCCUCUUUACCGAAGUCUUUGGAGUAUUUUCUUCUAG
rnacentral:rRNA from 1 species